rnacentral:rRNA from 1 species
GCGUGAGUGAUGAAGGCCUUAGGGUUGUAAAGCUCUUUUACCCGGGAUGAUAAUGACAGUACCGGGAGAAUAAGCUCCGGCUAACUCCGUGCCAGCAGCCGCGGUAAUACGGAGGGAGCUAGCGUUGUUCGGAAUUACUGGGCGUAAAGAGAACGUAGGCGGCUUUUCAAGUCAGGGGUGAAAUCCCGGGGCUCAACCCCGGAACUGCCCUUGAAACUGGAUAGCUAGAAUCCUGGAGAGGUUAGUGGAAUUCCGAGUGUAGAGGUGAAAUUCGU